UAGGGAAUCUUCGGCAAUGGACGAAAGUCUGACCGAGCAACGCCGCGUGAGUGGAGAAGGUUUUCGGAUCGUAAAACUCUGUUGGUAGAGAAGAACGUUGGUGAGAGUGGAAAGCUCAUCAAGUGACGGUAACUACCCAGAAAGGGACGGCUAACUACGUGCCAG
rnacentral:rRNA from 1 species